AUCCAACUGACGAGUCCUAAAUAGGACGAAACGCACGUCAAACUUUAU
rnacentral:hammerhead_ribozyme from 1 species